ensembl:lncRNA
GUAAGGAUAAAUGAAAAGGCUCCAAAUUCUCGCUGUCCCUCUCUGCCUUCCUCUCUCCCCUCCUCCCCCUCCAUCCUCCUCCCUCCCCUCCCCCACCCUCUUCUUCCCCAUCCCCUGCAAUCCGCGCUCGACGCGAGUUCACGCGGAGGGCUGGAUUUCCAGGCUGAACCGCAACUUGCGCUGCGCGUUAUUAUUAUUCAUCUGAGGGUGCUGCCGCCGCAACCUUUGCCUCCUGCUCAGCUCGCCUCUCCUUCCCCCCGGCCGCCGCCUCCGCCAGCAGUGCAGACCCUCCUGCACGCAUGCUCUGGCUCACCAAAGGGAGAUUCUGAAUUUUUUUUUUUUAUCGUGCUCAUGAUCAUCACCAUGAUGCUUCUUAUCAUGGUUAUCAUUUCCUCCUGCCAGGGAGAGCGACCACCAGCGCCUUCUGUCCGCCCGCCCCUUCCCCGGCGAAGGCAGCCACUAGGGCCGGGCCCUGGCGGCGGCUCCUCACAGGCGGACGUCCUUCGCCUCUCCGCAUCCCUCCUUCAUUCAUGUGCAUGUACAUUUUCCUGAUCCCUUUUUAUUCCAGUAGAUCUACUGCCUUUCGUUGGAACGCCGCGGACUGAGACCUGUCCCUCGAGAAGAACAAAAAGACGAAGACCUGAGUGGACCCCCCACCCACCCCCGCCCCGGACAAAGCACUUUGGGCUCGGCGAGCAGGGACGCGCCGGAGCGCUGGCUCGGGAAUACGAGUGAUCUCCGGUCUGCCCGGCGUGCGGACCUCCGAGGGGACUCGAAUUUUAUUUAGCCUCUUGAUCUGGGCGUUGAAGAGGAGACUGUGGAACAGGAGGCUUAGCAGAGUCGAAGCCCGAAGAUGAUGCCGAAGGGCUGAGGGGAUAGUGGAUCCAGCGCAUUAGACGAGUGACCUUUUAUAUCUGUGCCCACCCUUCACCUGGACUGCAGCAACCGAGUUCUGGAAGGCUGAUUCCCCAAAUUCUGGCCCCGGACCCCGGCAGCUCGCCCCUGCGGCACGCCCGGCCGGGUUGCGCCUGGACUCAGCAAGCUAGGAAAAAGCCUGGAUCCGAAAGGAUGGGGGAGAACAAAGAGCCUUUGCAAGACGUCGCUGUUAUCUCAUUGUCUGUGUGACUGGGGGAGCUGCGGUAGAGGAUGCUGUGGUCCUUUCCUCCCGGCGCUCCCCCACCCCCACGCCCUUCCCCGCUGUCAGUGCGCACGCACGCGCGCCGCUUUUCGCUUGUUUUUCCCGUUUUCUCAUUCCGUCUUCUCCCCACCCGCCCCCCUGCUUUCUUCCACCUUUCCUUCCUUCCUCCUCUCCUUCCUCAGGAGAAAGGCCUCUCUCUCCGUGUUCACAGCGGACCUUGAUUUAAAUGUCCAUACAAUUAAGGCACGCGGUGAAUGCCAAGAAUGGGGCUGGCUGAGCACCCGUCGGUCCGCGAGGGCCCUGCGAGGAAGGAUCCACAGAGCCCAGUCGUCCGCCGCAGAGCUCAGCGCCGCGGCUUUGGG